CUGAGGAUGGAAAGUCAGGAAUUAGCUUCUCUGAUCCAUCAUGGGAGUUUCUCCAUCACCUUCCCACCCCACAACACCGGUCCUCACAUACAGCUCAGGGCCCACCUGGUACCUAUCUAUCAGCAAGGCUUGAAGAAAGCUUCACGGGACUGAAGGGGAACCAGGACACCUUCUGUGGAGUCCUCCCACACAUAGGCCAGGCCUGAAAACUCAGUUUUGGUUUCCUGUUCCAGGAACCUCUGCUGCGCGAGUUUGCAGAGACAAGUGGGUGGAGGUGUUAAGGCGCAGGGAGUCAGAUGGGCUGCUUCUGCAUUGUGCCGCAGUCUGCCCUGAGCAGAGGAGUGGGGCCUCAAUGUGCAGGGAAUGGGGCACUGCACCGACACAUACACUGUGACUUACUAGCCAAGAUCCAAACUCAGACACCACAGGUAGUGCCUGCAGCCCUCUUCUCCUCUUCAGCACUGUUUCCUUGGAGAAAGAAGUCAUCUGCAACCUGAAGCUACAAGAAAGUCCUUCGUGGGUACCCUCCGUGUCCUGCUGAAUGCCUCCAACACUCCUACUGCCUCAGGACAGACUGUGCUAACAUCUCAGAUGCUCCUGCCAACUCUCCAGCCCUCCCAGGGACACUGCCUCUUGUCUUUCCCUUACCCAAUUGCUUCCCUAACUCCCAACUCACUUCUUUCCCUCUUGUUCUCCCCCACUCACCCUGUAAAUACUACAUCCUGAAUGCCUGCAAGGGUUAGGAACAAUAACUAAGAAUUUCUAAUAAAAAUGCCUGAAGCCUAUCUUUGGGGGCUAACUUCACCUUUAGGGUGAAAAGGUGACCCCCAGAUAUGAAACCAGAUGUUGCUGAUUCCAUGCCAAUGGGACUCCAGAGAUCCAGGUCUCUCGUCUCAAAGCAGACAGAUGAAGUCUUAGAGAGGAGUCAGGGGAGGGGUGCAGACAGUGAGACCCAUUCUAUUUGCUCUCACCCACUCCAGAACACAAAACCAUCACAGACCAUCAACUGAGAUGGUUUCUCACCCACACCAGGUAUCACAGACAGAAUGUGGGGCUCAGAAAGGGAGGAAAGCCAGAGCCAGCCUCUGGGCACGGCACUGUGUAUGGGCACUUUCCAGGUGGGGAGUGUGUAUGAUACAAAUCAGCCCACUAAGGCACCUGCCAAGGCUUUGGCUUUUCCCUAUCCACCACGGAGCACACAGUGCUUGUACCGGAAAGGGGAGAUUGCAUCUCUCAUAACCUUCCCCUGACUCCACAUGCUUUCUGUCCUGUCUCAGCAGACGAGAAACUUCUAGUUAGAAUCGACAAGCUCUCAGAACUAAGCUCAGACCAGUACUUUCUCUAAUUUUCCUUGGUCCCUUCCACAGUCCACAGGGUUAAGCCAGGAGAAGCAGGUCACACAGAAAGGGUGAACUUAGCAACUGAAGCCAGUUCCCUGGAGGGGCACCCAUGCUUCUCACCUUGAGGCUGCUCUGGAGGUUCAGCUGCUACUGAGGCUUCUGCCCAUGACACCCUGGAGAGGAUUAGGGAAGGAUGGUCAAAAGUAAUCUUGGGGCUUGGUAAACUGCAGACCUCAGGAUCACACCUCCCAGAGGCUAGGUAAACUGCAGACCUCAGGAUCACACCUCCCAGAGGCUAGGUAAACUGCAGACCUCAGGAUCACACCUCCCAGAGGCUAGGCAAACUGCAGACUCUAGGAUCACACCUCCCAGAGGCUAUCACACCUCCCAGAGGCUAGGUAAACUGCAGACCCCAGGAUCACACCUCCCAGAGGCUAUCACACCUCCCAGAGGCUAGGUAAAUUGCACACCUCCCAGGCACAGGGUCCCCUGACCUUGAGGUGAUGGACAGUGGCUCUAAAACCUCACACUUGCAUAACUCAGUAUCUAGGUCUGUACACUGCCAGGUCUUCAAGCCCAGGAAAGAGCUUUGGUUCUGGUUCUGUCCUCUAGGGUCCCAUAGACCUUGUGUGUUUGAGCUGUCGCAGUACUCUGCAUUUCUUUCUUUAGUGGGAAGCACACCCCUCUACAGUGGACACUAGUAAUAUUUCACAGACAGGCUGAGGCUCAAAAACUCGCUCAGUAUGUGGCAGAGUGGGCAGGCAGAACAUGAUGCUCUGCUUCUACAUGUAAGGGACAAGAUGACCUUCUACCGCCAAGAGGGGUGAUGAGCCCACUCUGUAGUACAGCGGGUACUCGAGGCAGAUCAUGGAAUAUGAAGGCAAGACAUAGAGGCUUCUCUACAUGUCACCUCAGACUGUUGCUCAUCUCCCCUCACCAAGACAGGUAUCCUGACAUUGAAUGGACAAAUGACCCAGGCCCCAUAACGAGGCAAGUCUUAGCACCUUGGCAACAUAUUGACACUGAUCUUUCAGCAAUGCUGUUCAGCUCUUAGAAGAAUUCAGUACAACCUGGUGAUGGCAGAGAGAGGGUGUUCUCUGGUGACAGGGCUUCCUCUUUGACAGAGUCUAUUUACCACAAUGGGAGCCCUUCAACAAACAAGACCUACCCUCUGCAGAAGGCUGGUUAGCGGGCAUCCAUGUGUGUUCCAGUGGUCCAUCUCUCUGUCAAAAUGAGAUCCUCAUUGUCCUCUGUCAGCCACAUGCUGUCCUCUCCCUGGGAGGAAUUCAGGCAAGUGUAAUUUUCUCUACUUCUGCACACACACAGGACACUUUUGUUGCUCUUUAGAUCCCCGUGCCAGGGAUGCUGUGUGCUUGCCUCCACUGCCCUGUCUGGACAUGCUUACAGGAAGGGCAAAAGACCAGCAUGGUCUGUCUUCUAGUUACCAGGGUAACCUACAGACCUUCUUUGAGGUGUCUUCUUCUCGGGGAUGAUGCAGGGUCCAGAUGGACCGAUGGAGGAAGGGCACAUUAGGACAGUUAUAGGGGUGGGGCAGGAGGGUUUCCCUACGUCCUUGCUACUCAGGGCCCCCACUCAGAAGAGCAGUUGAGCCACUCUACUCAGGGCAGUAGACGUGAGCACUGAAGGAAGCAGGGGUGAGUUCCCAGAGGGGAGUGAGGGUGGCAAGGCUGGGGCCAUGCAGAGUUUAAGGAUGUACUAAAAAACUCGCUCUACAAUGAAAUGUACCACUUUAAUAGAAAAAACUACAAAUGUGUCCACGACUAACCGAUGUCUGAAAAUAGUGGAGUUAGAUAAGCAAGGCCAAAUCCUGGGAUUUUCUUGCUUGGAGAUGUUUGUGCAUUUGUUUUGUUUUGAUAUUUAAGACAAUUAGUUAGUACGUGGGCUGCAGCAAGCACGUGGAAACCAGAAGAGCACGGGGGCAGGUGUGGGGGGAGAGUCACGUCUCUUUUCUCACAACAAAGAUCCUGGACAUUCAACUCAGGUUACGGGAAUUCACAGAAACUUGACCAGCUGAGCCACCUCACUGGGUCCUGAUUAUUUUUCAGAGAUGGUAUGAAAAUAUUAUUUUGAUGUAUGAGGUUUUUUUGAGUCAGUGUCUCACUAUCUAGCAUGGCCUAACUUGGAACUCACUGUAUGUACCAGGUUGGCCUUGAACUUGUGGCAAUCCUCUUGCAUCAGCCCUUGGGUGCCGUGAUGACAGAUAUUUGAGUUACCACACCUGGUUUAAUUAAUGGGCUUUCUAGAGACUCCUUUAAUUAUGCAUGAGAGACAAAUGCCUCUCUUACUUCAUCUUUCUGGGGCCUGAAGGAGUGGGACAGUUUUGAAAAUAUAUCAGGUGACAAAGUACCACCAGUCCAUGAGCUACCUAUCAUCUGCCAAGUGCACAGAUUCAUCUCAGUUCUGAGUGUAUGGCAUGUAGAUUCACAUGUCUCUGUGAUAUAAAGAGAGGUUCUGGGACAAACAGGUGCCUGGCACGCACAUGGCCCCUUACUCGCAGAGCAGCAGUGACUCAUAAGGCAGCUUCCACUUCCUGCCCUCCCUCGGGUUGGCUGCUAAGAGGAGGGGAGGGGAAACAGGGAGGGAGUAACGGGGUGGGCAGGGAAGAGGCUGCAGUCUUUCAUGACUUCCUGGGAAUAGCAGGUUAGCUGUAAUUGCUCGGAGCUGAGAGGCUGUUGAUGAAUGUUCGUAAUAAUCAGCCUUCAGAUCUGACACAGCUCAGGCUGGGAUGACUGUUUUGAAUGGAAAUUGAACCCAAACUAGUAAUUACCCAGGUGAGCGAUGCCAGUCUUCUCCUGGAGCCCUGUUCUAGACAGGGAAAUGACACCUGCAUGUCAACUAAGGGCUCUUUCCCAGGGCCACUCUCAAGAGAACAAGCUGGCCCAAACUCUGCCAACAUGAUGGGAAACAGUAGACAGGAUUACCCACCCUUCUUCCUAGGAACUACUGCUCGCAAAGGAUCCACCAUUGCCCCUAGUCUCUAAGCAGAGUCCUAUGUCCAGCCUUUCCCCUACUGCUUGGUCUAGCAUCUCUGCUGACAUUAUCUCUCCAUGUCCAAAGCAAGUGCUUCCCCCACCCACACCCCACACAAGUGCCAUCUUCAAAGGUGAUGCCUAGGACCCCUGGACACUGAUAGAUGGGAGCCUUUUGUAUUGAGCUGUGGCCAGCUGUGAGGAGUGGAACACAACAGGCCCUAGUAUCCAUCCUGGCUUAGGCCUCUGGUCUCUAUUUGCUCCUUGCUCCAGACAGAGGCCAGAAAUCUGUACCUGGAAAGAGACAGCCUUCUCUGGCCCACAAUGUGGUGCCUCUGAGCGUCUCAUUUCAUAUCUGGACCUCUAGGGUGUUGGCACUACCCAGAGCCAAGCCAGAGGGGGAAGCACUACUCCCGUGUCUUAUGAUUUUUUGUCCUGAUUCUCCCAGGGCUGCUGGAUACUAAGAAAGCAAAUGCUAGACAGCUAAGAUGAAGUUCAUACAUUGGACACACCAAUCUUCCACUCUCUACACUGUGCUUGGCCUAGGCCAGUUGAGAGGCCCAGAGGAGGCCUAAGCCUUUGACAAUUCCUAAGGGAAGACAGAUAAGUGGGCAGCAAAUUACAACUAGAGGUGGGCCCUAAUGGUCUCUGCCCAAGGAAACACUCCGAGCCUCAAGUCUACAGGUGUUUUUGAGAAGCCUAGGAGAGACAGGUCAGGCCAGUGGGGUUCAGUGAGUGUGAGCAUAGCCUUUCAGGCUGCAGAAACACAGUAAGGAGCUGGCACCUUGAGUGCCACCUAGUGGUGUCAGAGAAGGAAGGCAGCUUCAGGUCGAGUGAUGUUUCCGUCCCUAUCUGUCCCCACCCCUGAACUCAAAUGUGAACAGAAAGCCGAGGAAAUGGAUUUAGUUUUGCUCCCAAAGGCUUGGGGCUUUGAAGAUAGGAUAUAGCAUGGGGCCCAGGGUAUGGAAACAGCAGAGCAGCAGGGAGGGAGGGGCUGGAUCACAGGUUCCCUUUCAGGACACACUGUAGCCUUCUGAAUACGUCUCUACUCUGCAGUGAAUCCUACUCCUUCAGCAAGACUUCAGCUGCCACCAGCGCCUGGUUUGUCCCAUGGGAAGUGGCCAGAGCCCAUCUCAGCCUGUCUGAACCCUGCUGGGUUCCAGAAGGCUCAGUUUCUAGACACUCUCACUUCUUCCCAGGGAAAAGUCAUCACCAGAGCCGACUGGUCCCUGAGGUAACGUUCCGAGGAGUGGUGAACACUCAGCACAGGGUAUAUGGGCUGUGUGGGUGGGGUGGGGAUUGCACAGGGCGGAGAGAGGCAGCUGUGGGAAGACACGAGAGAAUGGCCACCAUGGGGUAAAAGCAGGGCAGCCUUAGGGAAUAACUCACAGGGUUGCAAGGUUUUUCUUAAAGGGCCAAGGAAUAAAUAUUUUAGAUGUGUGAGCCAGAUUAGCCCCACGAUUGCAGGGUGAAGGAGCCUUGACAGUAUCUAAAAACAUAGGUUUAGCAGUGCACCAAUAAACUGUUUACAAAAGUAGGCACUUGUACACUGGCUAUAAUGCCCUGAAUCAGUACAUCUGGAGAACAUAGGCUCUUGCUACACACUGUUAACAAAUAUAGGGUGUCUAUGGACGAUCAGCACACUUACUGAGAUCUCCAGACAUGGCAUAAGGUCAGGGUCAGAGCAGGACAGUCCAGGUGGGUGGUCCUAAUCCUUGCCCUCAGCACUGGGGGGUCGGGGAGGGGGGAGGCACUCACCUGCUGUGAAGGUUUUGUUGCUGUUGUUAUUCCACUGUCUUCCUCUAGGGGGGUCUCUCUUGGUCUAGCUGCUGCCCCUUCAACCCCUUCUCCAGCAGGAAGCCCCCAGAGCAAGGGGUGGGGAUAGGGGUGAAUGGGGCUGAACUGCCCCAGGGACAAACCAACAGACAGAUGACACCAGGGGAAGGUGAGGUGGCCAGAGGCAGGAGGAGGAGGUGUAACCCAGCACCAAGAGCCAGAGGCCAAGAAGAGGCCAGGCUGGCCCUAUUAGUCCUGUGAGCCUGGGCCCCACUGGACCCCAACUCCUACCAGAGACACAUACAGCUAGCUAGCAGGGGACCUGUCCAGCUUCUCCACCCCAGCCCCUGUCUCUUUGUAGGUGACACUGGGCAAUAAGAUCACAAGUCCUGGAUGGGGUUGGUAUGCUUGUUCUCAUGUUACACUAAAAGUGAGACUGAGGGAGAUGCUAUCGAGGCAAUGCAGACACAGCACGGGCUCAUCCAACAUUGAUACGGGCCCUGGAUUGCCCCCAGAGCCCCUCUGAGCAGAUGUGGGAUCCCAGGUCUCAGCUUCUGGUGAUGGACUGCCAAGCAGAGAAGGGUCCUCUGCCCCAUAGAUCACAUGGGGACUUGUUCCAGGCUUUCUGGCUUUUUAAAAAAUCAGACCCCUCUGGUGGAUCCCCUGGGAGUACAGGACCUUGCUUACUGGACCGUAUCAGUAGGCAGAGACUCCCAUGAAAAGCCAGCUGUUCAGGAGGCCGUCAUCACACCCAGUCGUUGAUGGGUUGGGGAAAGGGAACUGUAUCUAUACUGUCCCACUCCCCAGUCCUAUGCCUUACUCCCUCUCCUUCUAUUUUCCUAUGCAUGUAUUUCCACUCAGACACAUAACACUUGCACAUGUGGCCACCCUGGUGGCACGUGCACACACCUCUGUCUCCAAGGAUGCACAGACCUACCUGUCUGCAUGGUGUGCACAUACCUCAGACAUGCUCACUGGUGUCUACUCAGUGCACGUACAGAUGUGCACACACACAAACCCUUUUUCCCAGGGGAGCCCAACCCUCACAGCUCUGUUCUGUGACUACUGGUGAUGGAUCAGAAGCUAUCAUGCAGGAUGUCAGCCUGUGGAGAAAGGGAUGUUAGCCCACUGGCAGGCCCUGGCCAUCCUGGCAUGGUGUGGCACUGAUCUGCAGUGUCAGAGGAGUAUGGAAGCAGGGCCAGGUUGGAAUCCAGUCUUUACUACAGAAUGGAAACUUGUAAAGAGUUAAUCCUGGGCAGCCAUCACUCUGAUUUCCCUGACUACAAAGAUGACCCUAGGCGCUGACUUCAUCACCUGACCUGAACUCUGUGCCUAUCAUCUUAUACUGGUUCUGAUCUGCUGGUGUAAUUCUCCAGCAGGAUCCACAUCUGACAUCUGCUGUGGCAACAGCCCUGACAGAUUGGUUACCAAAGCCUGCUGACUACCACCCCAAAACAAACACACGUAUGUGCACAUGCAUAAAUGCAUGCAUGCACACACCUAGAAUUUUCUUUGUUCACCAUUUAAGACACCAGAAUACCUACCUGACACUGCAGAGGGAGGCUGAUUGGGAACAUGUCCCUGAACCCCCAUGUGGGUGCUGUAGCUUCAAGAGAAAGAGCCCUUACCACUCAGGGUAGAGAGAAAAGAGAUCUCUCUUGACUCACUGCCUUUUCAGCCAGAUCCAUACUGGCUGGCUGGGCUGCCUUGUCUGAUCUCUGUGGAAGAGGAUGUGUCUAGCCUCACAGAGACUUGAUGUGCCAGGGUGGGGGGGACACACAAGGGGGUCCUCACUUGCUCAGAGGGGAAGGGGAUGGGGGGAUUGUAUGUGGGGGGAGGGGCUGGUGACCAGGAGGUGGGCAGUGAGCAGGGUGUAAAGUGAAUACAUUUUUAAAAAUUAAAGAAAAAAAAAAGAUAGAUCCCCACUGAUUCCCUGUGCAAUGAAUCCCAUUUGCCCUAACCGAUCCAGAGGACUGGGUCUUGUCCUGUUAAAUAUCCAUUAGAAGAGAAGCCUCUGGAACACAGCAGUCUCAGACCACCUGCCUCUGGAGGCCUGCCUCGCCCAGUAACUCCUGAGUUAGCACUGUCACAGGCAUGGUCUCAAUCCUGCCUUCCCAGGCUUCAUCCCACCACCCAGCAAUCACAGGACACACUGAGACAGAGAGAGGAGGAUGGAGGGGGAUGACCAGGAAGGAGCAUCUGAGUAUACUGUGUGCUGAACUGUUCUUUAAUGAGGCAGCUGGACUCGGUCCCAACAAUAAAUAGUGCAGGAGGGUUCUACUGUCCCCACACUGUCACCCUGUCAACACCAUCCCAGCACCCUGAUGUCAGCGGUCAUGUGUAGAAAGCACAUCUGACUGCUGUUGUCCCAUGUUAGCAUGCUGUUACAGCCAUUCAACUCCAUGUUCCCUCCUCUGGGCCUCCCAUGUAAGACCCAUGUCCCUUCCGUAACUCCAGAGAAAAUCAAAAUCACUCACUCAACCUGGACUUUAGGAAAAAUAAUAAACCAUGAAAAUUACAAAAAGAGAAAAAAUAGACUAGGAAAGAGACCAAUGACAGAGUUCAGAAAGACUGGACUGCUCCCCACCAAGGGUUUUGAAAUACCUAUGAGUAGAAGAGCAUGGGAUAUAGAUGACACACAAAAAGUUACAAGACCAGCCAGGAGGUGGUGGCGCCCACUUUUAAUCACAGCACUCAGGAUGCAGAGGCAGGCAGAUCUCUGUUAGUUCGAGGUCAGCCUUUUCUGUUCAGGGCUUCACAAAAACCCUGUCUCAAAAAACAAAACAAACAAAGAGAGAAAGAAAGAAAGGAAGGAAGAAAGCAAGGAAGGAAGGAGGGAUGGAAGGAUGGAGGGAUGGAGGGAUGGAGGGAUGGAGGGAGGGAGGGAGGGAGGGAGGGAGGGAGAGAGAGAGAGAGAGAGAGAGAGAGAGAGAGAGAGAGAGAGAAAGGAAGGAGGAAAGAAAGAAAAUGAAAGAAAGAGAAAAAAGUUAUGACAAGACUGGGGGCCAGGGCCAUUGUGUCUUUUUCCUUUCUCAAACUAUUCUCCAAGUGCCUUUCUCUCUUAAUAAACUCUUUCUUCUGUUACCAUCUGUGCUUCUGUCCAAAUCUUUUCUCAGGAACACACAAACCCAAAUCCCAGUGAAUGCCUUGUGGGACCCUUAUCCACCUCUAACAAAGGCUAUGAUGCCAACCUAACCAGCCCAGCUCCUUCAGCUUCAGUGGCCAUAAGUCCACAGAGCUAGUGAC